GGGGGUGUAGCUCAGUGGUUAGAGUGUAUGCUUAGCAUGCACGAGGUACCAGGUUCAAAUCCUGGCACUUCCA
rnacentral:tRNA from 2 species